rnacentral:rRNA from 1 species
UACGUAGGGUGCAAGCGUUAAUCGGAAUUACUGGGCGUAAAGCGUGCGCAGGCGGUUUUGUAAGUCUGACGUGAAAUCCCCGGGCUCAACCUGGGAAUUGCGUUGGAGACUGCAAGGCUGGAGUCUGGCAGAGGGGGGUAGAAUUCCACGUGUAGCAGUGAAAUGCGAAGAGAUGUGGAGGAACACCGAUGGCGAAGGCAGCCCCCUGGGUCAAGACUGACGCUCAUGCACGAAAGCGUGGGGAGCAAACAGG